rnacentral:rRNA from 1 species
GAUGAACGCUGGCGGCGCGCCUAAUACAUGCAAGUCGAGCGAACGGACGAGAAGCUUGCUUCUCUGAUGUUAGCGGCGGACGGGUGAGUAACACGUGGAUAACCUACCUAUAAGACUGGGAUAACUUCGGGAAACCGGAGCUAAUACCGGAUAAUAUUUUGAACCGCAUGGUUCAAAAGUGAAAGACGGUCUUGCUGUCACUUAUAGAUGGAUCCGCGCUGCAUUAGCUAGUUGGUAAGGUAACGGCUUACCAAGGCAACGAUGCAUAGCCGACCUGAGAGGGUGAUCGGCCACACUGGAACUGAGACACGGUCCAGACUCCUACGGGAGGCAGCAGUAGGGAAUCUUCCGCAAUGGGCGAAAGCCUGACGGAGCAACGCCGCGUGAGUGAUGAAGGUCUUCGGAUCGUAAAACUCUGUUAUUAGGGAAGAACAUAUGUGUAAGUAACUGUGCACAUCUUGACGGUACCUAAUCAGAAAGCCACGGCUAACUACGUGCCAGCAGCCGCGGUAAUACGUAGGUGGCAAGCGUUAUCCGGAAUUAUUGGGCGUAAAGCGCGCGUAGGCGGUUUUUUAAGUCUGAUGUGAAAGCCCACGGCUCAACCGUGGAGGGUCAUUGGAAACUGGAAAACUUGAGUGCAGAAGAGGAAAGUGGAAUUCCAUGUGUAGCGGUGAAAUGCGCAGAGAUAUGGAGGAACACCAGUGGCGAAGGCGACUUUCUGGUCUGUAACUGACGCUGAUGUGCGAAAGCGUGGGGAUCAAACAGGAUUAGAUACCCUGGUAGUCCACGCCGUAAACGAUGAGUGCUAAGUGUUAGGGGGUUUCCGCCCCUUAGUGCUGCAGCUAACGCAUUAAGCACUCCGCCUGGGGAGUACGACCGCAAGGUUGAAACUCAAAGGAAUUGACGGGGACCCGCACAAGCGGUGGAGCAUGUGGUUUAAUUCGAAGCAACGCGAAGAACCUUACCAAAUCUUGACAUCCUUUGACAACUCUAGAGAUAGAGCUUUCCCCUUCGGGGGACAAAGUGACAGGUGGUGCAUGGUUGUCGUCAGCUCGUGUCGUGAGAUGUUGGGUUAAGUCCCGCAACGAGCGCAACCCUUAAGCUUAGUUGCCAUCAUUAAGUUGGGCACUCUAAGUUGACUGCCGGUGACAAACCGGAGGAAGGUGGGGAUGACGUCAAAUCAUCAUGCCCCUUAUGAUUUGGGCUACACACGUGCUACAAUGGACAAUACAAAGGGCAGCGAAACCGCGAGGUCAAGCAAAUCCCAUAAAGUUGUUCUCAGUUCGGAUUGUAGUCUGCAACUCGACUACAUGAAGCUGGAAUCGCUAGUAAUCGUAGAUCAGCAUGCUACGGUGAAUACGUUCCCGGGUCU